UAGCCUAGUUGUUAAGGCUGUGGAUCGCCAAUCCGAAGACGGCGGGUUCGAUUCCCGU
rfam:Aedes albopictus isolate Foshan contig78134, whole genome shotgun sequence.